GAUGAACGCUGGCGGCGUGCCUAAUACAUGCUAGUCGAGCGAACAGACGAGGAGCUUGCUCCUUUGGCGUUAGCGGCGGACGGGUGAGUAACACGUGGGUAACCUACCUAUAAGACUGGGAUAACUUCGGGAAACCGGAGCUAAUACCGGAUAAUAUUUCGAACCGCAUGGUUCGAUAGUGAAAGAUGGCUUUGCUAUCACUUAUAGAUGGACCUGCGCCGUAUUAGCUAGUUGGUAAGGUAAUGGCUUACCAAGGCAACGAUACGUAGCCGACCUGAGAGGGUGAUCGGCCACACUGGAACUGAGACACGGUCCAGACUCCUACGGGAGGCAGCAGUAGGGAAUCUUCCGCAAUGGGCGAAAGCCUGACGGAGCAACGCCGCGUGAGUGAUGAAGGUCUUCGGAUCGUAAAACUCUGUUAUUAGGGAAGAACAAACGUGUAAGUAACUGUGCACGUCUUGACGGUACCUAAUCAGAAAGCCACGGCUAACUACGUGCCAGCAGCCGCGGUAAUACGUAGGUGGCAAGCGUUAUCCGGAAUUAUUGGGCGUAAAGCGCGCGUAGGCGGUUUUUUAAGUCUGAUGUGAAAGCCCACGGCUCAACCGUGGAGGGUCAUUGGAAACUGGAAAACUUGAGUGCAGAAGAGGAAAGUGGAAUUCCAUGUGUAGCGGUGAAAUGCGCAGAGAUAUGGAGGAACACCAGUGGCGAAGGCGACUUUCUGGUCUGUAACUGACGCUGAUGUGCGAAAGCGUGGGGAUCAAACAGGAUUAGAUACCCUGGUAGUCCACGCCGUAAACGAUGAGUGCUAAGUGUUAGGGGGUUUCCGCCCCUUAGUGCUGCAGCUAACGCAUUAAGCACUCCGCCUGGGGAGUACGACCGCAAGGUUGAAACUCAAAGGAAUUGACGGGGACCCGCACAAGCGGUGGAGCAUGUGGUUUAAUUCGAAGCAACGCGAAGAACCUUACCAAAUCUUGACAUCCUUUGACCCUUCUAGAGAUAGAAGUUUCCCCUUCGGGGGACAAAGUGACAGGUGGUGCAUGGUUGUCGUCAGCUCGUGUCGUGAGAUGUUGGGUUAAGUCCCGCAACGAGCGCAACCCUUAAGCUUAGUUGCCAUCAUUAAGUUGGGCACUCUAAGUUGACUGCCGGUGACAAACCGGAGGAAGGUGGGGAUGACGUCAAAUCAUCAUGCCCCUUAUGAUUUGGGCUACACACGUGCUACAAUGGACAAUACAAAGGGCAGCGAAACCGCGAGGUCAAGCAAAUCCCAUAAAGUUGUUCUCAGUUCGGAUUGUAGUCUGCAACUCGACUACAUGAAGCUGGAAUCGCUAGUAAUCGUAGAUCAGCAUGCUACGGUGAAUACGUUCCCGGGUCU
rnacentral:rRNA from 1 species